UACGGAGGGUGCGAGCGUUGUCCGGAAUCACUGGGCGUAAAGGGCGCGUAGGUGGCGCUGCAAGUCAACGGUGAAAGCUCGACGCUUAACGUCGAGUCGGCCGUCGAAACUGCAGCGCUCGAGCACUGUAGAGGCUCAUGGAAUUCCGGGUGUAGCGGUGGAAUGCGUAGAGAUCCGGAAGAACACCAGUGGCGAAGGCGGCCCGCUGGGCAGUGGCUGACGCUGAGGCGCGACAGCGUGGGGAGCAAACAGG
rnacentral:rRNA from 1 species